GGAAAUUUCAUCGUGCAAAUAAUUGACAAAAAUUUUUAUCGUAUUUGAUUGAUGGAAGCAAGAAAACAAAUUAAACAUCAAAGCUCUUCUACAAACAUACAUAUCAAGUUACUACUUGAGGAUUUACAUGUAUGUACACCUGAGUUUGUAUUUGAUGAUAUCAGACUGUAGAGAUGGCUGAAGUCCUUUUCUUGAGAAUCAAUUUUCAAUUUGUAGAUAAGCAAACGAGCAAGGAAUCCUUCCAUCUUUUCCCUAAAUAAAACAAGAAAAUGAAACAUGAAAAAUUCAUUAAGAUUUGAAUAAGUUGCAUCACAAUGCUUAUUUAUACCAAGAAUACGCCGAAUUUGACAUUUAAUUCACUCAGCAAUAGAUUAAGAGUUACAGGUCCUUCUACAGAUUUUAGAAAAGCUCUAAGCUCAACAUACAUACAAGAAAGAACAUCGAUUUUUUCACCACUUGUUUUUGUGCUGGCUGUUAAUUAGUAGUUCGCCCUAGAGCAAUGCCUUUGUGUUGUGUAUUGUAAAUAUUAAUUCUCAUUUUAUGGCAAUUAUUAAUUUCUCUUAUAUUUGAAUGGUUUAAAUGUUAUAGAGAAAUUUCCUUUAAUGACUUGUUGAUGUUUUAUUCUUAAGUUGUUAAGAAU
rnacentral:misc_RNA from 1 species